AGAACAAUUCUGUUCUAUGUAGGAAUGCACCUCCUAACAACAAAAUCUGAAGACCCCCCACCAUAGCCACACACCCACAGGCACAGACACAGAGCUGAAUGUGCACUGAAGGAAAAUAAGACCAGAACUUGAUGCAGGCAGUCAGGCAGCCUCAGAACCUUCCUCAGCCUGGCCAUUGACCAGGGCAGACACAUGCUCUCCCAUUUUCCUGGCACUGAGUUGAGAUAUCGCUACACUGCACUGCUAUGGGAACUUGCCUCCACUAGAUACCCCAGGUUCCAGAGGCACUGGCAGCACUGAAGCGGUUAUUGAGGUCCUGGAAGACAGUAGCUCUGCACCUGCAAUGCUGUGCUAUUAGCCACAUUAUAAUCCUUAGCAUCACAUAACCUCACUAACCCCACCGACACUGACCUGCCAGGCCCUGACCUCCGCCUGGAAGCCUAGCCACUGGGGCUAAGACUCUUGAAGGACUCUUGAAAGAAGUUGGGGCCUCUGUAUGCAGGAGCUUCACCCAGAAGAAAACUUAGACAAGUCUUCACUGGUUUUGUUGCUUUAAGCAUUUUUUGGAGCUUGUUUCUGUUGAAUACUUUCUCCUCAUGAAGAGUUGUAAGUUCACUUCCUAAGUUUGUAUUAACUGUUUUCUUCUCUCCCUUGUCUGCAAGAUCUUCAGCUUUAAACAUCCGUUCCUCAUGUUGAAAUGAAAACGGUAUUUUAAAAA
rnacentral:lncRNA from 1 species